rnacentral:ncRNA from 1 species
AAUAAAGCGUAGAUGAGGAAAGUAGGAACGAUGUCCGUUGUACAGAGACGAGCUUGAGUGGUGAGAAAGCUUGAACGGACGCGCUCUCGAAAUGCCCCUCUGAGUGCUACCCGAAAUCAGUGAGAGUAGGCGUAGACGUAUCUCCGGCGUUAACGGACCGGAGAGGGAUGAUUCGUUCAUCCAAACAGAGUGGGACCGCGCUGAUUGGCGUCUCUGUG